GCUAACUACGUGCCAGCAGCCGCGGUAAGACGUAGGGGGCGAGCGUUGCCCGGAAUCACUGGGCGUAAAGGGGGCGUAGGCGGUCUCAUAAGUCAGGUGUGAAAUGUCACUGCUCAACGGUGUCAGUGCGCUUGAAACUGUGAGACUUGAGGGUACCAGAGGUAGACGGAAUUACCUGAGUAGGGGUGAAAUCCGUAGAUACAGGUAAGAACGCCAGUGGGGAAGCCGGUCUACUGGGGUGACCCUGACGCUGAGGCCCGAAAGCUAGGGUAGCAAACCGGAUUAGAUACCCUGGUAGUC
rnacentral:rRNA from 1 species